UUUUGGGGAUUUUUCGCAUGCUUUCUUUUGGGGCAAGGGUUUUUAAUUCCACAAAACAUGGAAAUGCUGCUGGCAAAGAUUGUGUAUCCUCCUCUGUUUUAAUUAAACCACAAAAUUUUUUUCACUCACAAAUCCCGAUGAAAGUCAACUAGUAGAUGGGUUAUUUAUAUAAAAUAUUUCAUAAAUAACCAAAGGGUAAAAAUACAACUCUAUUAUUGUCGGGCUUUGCAGCGAAACCAAAUCUCGUAGGUCAACUUUUAUUUAUAUUUUAUGAUCAGAUACUCCCCAAUUCCCCGACAUGAUGCAUGGAUUUUUUCAUAGUUUUCAACAAAACGCCGAACUGUUAACGACUCUGCUGGCCCAUAACUUUGGCCAUAAAUUUGAUGUUUGAUUUUCAUGGCCUGGUCAACAACUUGGGAAAAACUUAAAGCUUCAACUUCGGGCGGGGUUUUGCUCUUUAACGACUGGGCAGAUGGCUAAUCUGUUAAUCUGUUAAUGCGAGAAGAGCUCCGAGUAGUGAGUGAAAGGUAAGCCACACUUUCACCCGAUCGAAAGAGAGUCGCAACUUGUCGGGCUUUUAAUUUAAUUAGACAACCAGCAUGUGACCCAAACUAAUCAAACUUGCUAGCUCGGGGUGUGGUCUCCGGUCACUUUGCAAAGGAGAACAAAAGUAAAGGUAUGUGUGUGUAUAGACUAGACUGGCCCGGAGGGGGGAUCAAAAUGAACUUCCAGGUGGAUUAGGGGCAAUAGCGGUAGAGAAGGGUUCUUGGCAAAUGGCAAACAAAUGCGAUAAUAGUUGGCAAACUCGGUGGAUAGACGGACAGCAAAAACCUACAGCGCAACAACAAUGAAAUUGAAGAAAAUUACACUAAAUUGGCUUCAAUUAUUGUAUUAAUUUGGGUUCCGUGUUGCUUUCCGGCUUAUCCCUUUUGGCCCGUUUUUCCUGACUCUUUUUUUUUACAUUUUGUAUGGUCUCUACUACUCUACUCUAUAAGUAGUCUCACCGGUGUGGCCCCGAUCUGCAAGCAAACAUUUUGCUUUUCUAACUUGACUCUGGCAUCUUGAUGAGCCACUUCUUUUCCCCUAAGUUGGUUUAGUUGAGUUAUUUCAAGUCGAAAUUAUAUUAGACAGUUGCAAUGUGUAUUUUGCAGAGUUGAAAACAAGCAUGAGUCACAUUGAAAUGGAAUAUUAUCUUAAUUUAUUUGAUCCAUGAUAACAAUAAUUUGUAAUUUUGUACCUAUCAUAUUUCCAAUUUGAAAAUAAUGCCUUUAAUAUAGUAAUAUCCCUAUUAUCACUUUACACAUUUAACUCGCCUAUUUUUUUCUCUGUAUUGCAGUUGUUGCUGUCGUGCAGGAAGCCUCGUCUUGACUUGGCCAAGAGGAAACUGACGAUUAUAGCCCAAGUAAGAGAGGCGACCGGAAGAACUUCAUUGCUUGUCAUCUGCUAGGAGUUUGUUUUUCUUACUCCACCCUUUUGUUUUUCCUGCAGGUAAGUUUUUUUUCUGCUUGACUGAUUAAAUAGUUAAUCCUAUGUGCAUAAUAUGAAUUUAAUUUUUUAGCUCUAAAAAAUAUAAGAUCACAGGUAAUUGAUUUUUACAAAUUUUGAACUAUUUAUGGCCUUAAGAAUUUCCCAAUCAUUCUUUAAAUUACAUAUGUCUUAUUGGUUUUAAACUCGCAUUGUAUAGAAUUCCCCACAGAAAACGUAUAUUAAACAAAAAACUUUUUUCUUGCGCUUAUUUCAAUUUAAAAUUGAAAUAAAAUUCACAACUCACCAAGAAAUUAAAGCUGCAGGCCACAAAAAACAUUGGCAAUCACACAGACACUCGGUGGCACAAACACAAGCACUCAAUCAAGUACACUGUCGGAAAAUGUUUAAGCUAAUUUUUGGCGAACAUCUAGUUUUCUCUGAAAC
rnacentral:sRNA from 1 species